rnacentral:rRNA from 1 species
AUUGAACGCUGGCGGAAUGUCUUUACACAUGCAAGUCGAACGGCAGCGACGGGGCAACCUGGUGGCGAGUGGCGAACGGGUGAGUAAUACAUCGGAACGUGCCCAAUCGGUGGGGGAUAACGUAGCGAAAGUUACGCUAAUACCGCAUACGAUCUACGGAUAGAAAGCGGGGGAUCGCAAGACCUCGCGCGAAUGGAGCGGCCGAUGUCAGAUUAGGUAGUUGGUGGGGUAAAGGCUCACCAAGCCGACGAUCUGUAGCUGGUCUGAGAGGACGACCAGCCACACUGGGACUGAGACACGGCCCAGACUCC